CCUACGGGGGGCAGCAGUGGGGAAUAUUGGACAAUGGGGGCAACCCUGAUCCAGCCAUGCCGCGUGUGUGAAGAAGGCCCUCGGGUUGUAAAGCACUUUCAGUGAGGAAGAACGCCUGGUGGUUAAUACCCAUCAGGAAAGACAUCACUCACAGAAGAAGCACCGGCUAACUCCGUGCCAGCAGCCGCGGUAAUACGGAGGGUGCGAGCGUUAAUCGGAAUUACUGGGCGUAAAGCGCGCGUAGGUGGCUUGAUAAGCCGGUUGUGAAAGCCCCGGGCUCAACCUGGGAACGGCAUCCGGAACUGUCAAGCUAGAGUGCAGGAGAGGAAGGUAGAAUUCCCGGUGUAGCGGUGAAAUGCGUAGAGAUCGGGAGGAAUACCAGUGGCGAAGGCGGCCUUCUGGACUGACACUGAGACUGAGGUGCGAAAGCGUGGGUAGCAAACAGGAUUAGAUACCCUUGUAGUC
rnacentral:rRNA from 1 species